UGACGUCGGUUCCUCCUCCUGACUGCAGUGAAUCAGGAGGAUUUUACGACGUCGCAGAGAAACUCGGGUCUUUUUCACCCAGAAAGCUUCCGGCUGCAGCCGAAUCUAAAUCAGCUUCCUGGUUUUGCGGGACCCAACAAAC